GGGGACGGCCCGUUUCACCCUCAUACCGGACGGGGUAUUGAGGUUUAUGGUUUUGGCGCCCAUACCGGAUGGGGUAUGGGGACGGCCCUGGAAACUGAUUAUGAAUGUUAAAGGUUAACGGGUAGCGGGACCCCUAGGGACCCCCAUGGAUACUAGUAGGCUGGUAAAUGAGAAAAGGAUAUGUUGUAUAAUGAUUGAAUUACAAAAGGCGUGAUAAGUGCUAUGUUUUACAGCUUAUAUUAUUCCAUGAUUGUGAUAAUGUUAUUACUUUUCUUAUAUUGUUUUCAUAAAUUCCACCGAGGUAAGUGGAUGGUAAAGGUUUUUAUGUUAAUAAAC
rnacentral:lncRNA from 1 species